rnacentral:rRNA from 1 species
GAUGAACGCUGGCGGCGUGCCUAAUACAUGCAAGUCGAGCGAACAGACGAGGAGCUUGCUCCUCUGACGUUAGCGGCGGACGGGUGAGUAACACGUGGAUAACCUACCUAUAAGACUGGGAUAACUUCGGGAAACCGGAGCUAAUACCGGAUAAUAUAUUGAACCGCAUGGUUCAAUAGUGAAAGACGGUUUUGCUGUCACUUAUAGAUGGAUCCGCGCCGCAUUAGCUAGUUGGUAAGGUAACGGCUUACCAAGGCAACGAUGCGUAGCCGACCUGAGAGGGUGAUCGGCCACACUGGAACUGAGACACGGUCCAGACUCCUACGGGAGGCAGCAGUAGGGAAUCUUCCGCAAUGGGCGAAAGCCUGACGGAGCAACGCCGCGUGAGUGAUGAAGGUCUUCGGAUCGUAAAACUCUGUUAUUAGGGAAGAACAAAUGUGUAAGUAACUAUGCACGUCUUGACGGUACCUAAUCGGAAAGCCACGGCUAACUACGUG